UUUGUUGCUAAGUUUUGUAUUCCACAAUGAUGUUCUUAUCUGUGUUCAAGACAAAUCAGAAAAAAAAAGUUGCAGAGGCCAAAAAAAACAACCUCCUGGCUAUUCUUCAAGAGAGGAAGAAUCGUAAAAGGAAGUCUCCUAUGUGCCCAACUCCCUUAAAGAAAGUGAGGGAGCGCAUCCUCUCCGACAGCUUUUCCGAAGAGGAUGGUGAUGACAAUGAUGAUGGUGGGGUUGUGCCAGAAACACUUUUAAAGGAGGCCAAACAAACACAACAACUUUACCAAAACAAGUUUAAGGAAAUGUCCCUACAACUGCAGGACACAAGAAAACAGUUAGAGGAUCAGAAGAAAAGAAGAGUAGCAGUUGAGGCUGAAAACAAAACACUUCGUGGUCUCAACAUUGAAUUGCAGCAACAACUGCUGAAGAAGUUGAAGACCACAUCAACCCCAAUUGAAACUGGAUGUGAGUGCAGAGGAACCAUCUGUAUCUCCUUAUGGAGACAAGAUUAGUUUGGAAGGAGACAUUAAUGUUAGGAAAGAGACCUGGGUCCGCAUUAACAGGAACAACCGCGACUCCUUAUUUGUGAAGGAAUUGGCAGUGGCAAUCUGGGGUACUAAAACCCUGGGGGAAAAAAGCCUAACUGGGAAGGAGUGCCCCACCACCAAAACCACCCGCCAGCCUUUAACCCCGAAGAAGCUGCAAACAUUGAAAGUCUGCUUUAAGGAGUGGCUCCAGAAAAAAACCCUGGAGGAGACCGAGUUGCAGGCCAGAUGGGCAAAGGCAGGGCGUUACAUUACAGAAAAAAAUCAUGGA